CGGCACGGGUGAGUAACACGUAGGUCAUCUACCCCUAUCACAGACAUAACCCCGGGAAACCCGGCCGUAAUAUCUGAUGAGGUCGCGAGAUCAAAGCUUAGGCGGAUAGGGAUGAGCCUGCGGCUGAUUAGCUAGUUGGUGAGGUAAUGGCUCACCAAGGCGACGAUCAGUAGCUGGUCUGAGAGGACGAACAGCCACACUGGAACUGAGACACGGUCCAG
rnacentral:rRNA from 1 species